GUCGAUGGUAGGUUACGCGCCUACCAUGGUGGUCACGGGUGACGGGGAAUCAGGGUUCGAGUCCGGAGAGGGAGCCUGAGAAACGGCUACCACAUCCAAGGAAGGCAGCAGGCGCGCAAAUUACCCACUCCCGGCACGGGGAGGUAGUGACGAAAAAUAACGAUACGGGACUCAUAUGAGGCUCCGUAAUCGGAAUGAGUACACUUUAAAUCCUUUAACGAGGAUCCACUGGAGGGCAAGUCUGGUGCCAGCAGCCGCGGUAAUUCCAGCUCCAGUAGUCUAUGCCAAAGUUGUUGCGGUUAAAAAGCUCGUAGUUGGAUCUCGGUUCGAGACGGUUGGACCGCCUUUCGGGCGGUUUUCCUGACCGCUGCGAACAGAAUGAACUGGCACGUCCGGCGGUGCUCUUCAUCGAGUGUCGUCGGGUGGCCGGUGCGUUUACUUUGAAAAAAUUAGAGUGCUCAAAGCAGGCGGAGAUGCCAGAAUAAUAGUGCAUGGAAUAAUGAAAUAGGAUCUCGGUUCUAUUUUGUUGGUUCUCGGAACGCGAGAUAAUGAUUAAUAGGAACAGACGGGGGCAUUCGUAUUGCGACGUUAGAGGUGAAAUUCUUGGAUCGUCGCAAGACGGAC
rnacentral:rRNA from 1 species